rnacentral:rRNA from 1 species
GACGAACGCUGGCGGCGUGCUUAACACAUGCAAGUCGAGCGGAGCGGCGAACGGGUGAGUAACGCGUGAGUAACUGCCCCCCUCUCUGGGAUAACAGUUGGAAACGGCUGCUAAUACCGGAAAGUGGGGGAUGACUCGCGUCCUAGACGCUUGUUGGUGGGGUAGUGGCCUACCAAGGCGAAGACGGGUAGCCGGCCUGAGAGGGCGACCGGCCACAUUAGGCUGGUUUCCGGCCCAGCCUCCUCCGGGCGGCAGCGGUGUGGGAUAUUGCACAAUGGGCGACAGGCUUAUGCCUCUACGCCGCGUGGGGGAUUAAGGCGUUCGGGUUGUAAACCUCUUUCGCUAUCGAAAGGGUAGGUGGAGAAGAAGCGCCGGCUAACUACGUGCCAGCAGCCGCGGUAAUUC